GGACGAACGCUGGCGGUGUGCUUACCACAUGCAAGUCGAACGGUAAGGCCCUUUCGGGGGUACACGAGUGGCGAACGGGUGAGUAACACGUGAGUAACCUGCCCUCAUCUCUGGGAUAGCAGUCGGAAACGGUUGCUAAUACUGGAUAUGAGCCUGCAAGGCAUCUUGUGGGUUGGAAAGAUUUUUUGGUUGGGGAUGGACUCGCGGCCUAUCAGCUUGUUGGUGAGGUAGUGGCUCACCAAGGCUUCGACGGGUAGCCGGCCUGAGAGGGCGACCGGCCACAUUGGGACUGAGAUACGGCCCAAACUCCUACGGGAGGCAGCAGGGGGGAAUAUUGCACAAUGGACGGAAGUCUGAUGCAGCAACGCCGCGUGCGGGAUGACGGCCUUCGGGUUGUAAACCGCUUUCAAUUGUGACGAAGCUUUUUGUGACGGUAGCAGUAGAAGAAGCACCGGCUAACUACGUG
rnacentral:rRNA from 1 species